GGAGUACUCCCUUCGUCCAGAAAUACUUGUCGGAGGAAUGGAUGUAUCUAGACGUACUUUAGUUCUAGAUACAUCCAUUUUUAUGCAUUUCUUCGACAAGUAUUUCAGGACGGAGGGAGUAUUAC
rnacentral:pre_miRNA from 1 species